GAAAAGGAGAAAGGAGCAAAUGGGGGAGGGACAGGGGAGAGAGGAGAAGGGAGUUUGUAUGUUUGUAUGAUAGGUGCAGUGUAAUGUGUUGUUGUACAGGGUCAGCCAUAGUGGUAUGAUAGGUGUUGUUGUACAGGGUCAGCCAUAGUAGUAUGAUAGGUGUUGUUGUACAGGGUCAGCCAUAGUAGUAUGAUAGGUGUUGUUGUACAGGGUCAGCCAUAGUAGUAUGAUAGGUGUUGUUUUACAGGGUCAGCCAUAGUAGUAUGGUAGGUGUUGUUGUACAGGGUCAGCCAUAGUAGUAUGAUAGGUGUUGUUGUACAGGGUCAGCCAUAGUGGUAUGAUGGGUGUUGUUGUACAGGGUCAGCCAUAGUGGUAUGAUAGGUGUUGUUGUACAGGGUCAGCCAUAGUAGUAUGAUAGGUGUUGUUGUACAGGGUCAGCCAUAGUAGUAUGAUAGGUGUUGUUUUACAGGGUCAGCCAUAGUGGUAUGAUAGGUGUUGUUGUACAGGGUCAGCCAUAGUAGUAUGAUAGGUGUUGUUUUACAGGGUCAGCCAUAGUAGUAUGAUAGGUGUUGUUGUACAGGGUCAGCCAUAGUAGUAUGAUAGGUGUUGUUGUACAGGGUCAGCCAUAGUAGUAUGAUAG
rnacentral:lncRNA from 1 species